UCUAUUUUGGCAGAUAAGUGCAAUAGAUUUAGGAUCUAUAAAUGUAAGUUGGUAUUACAAAUAGAA
rnacentral:tRNA from 1 species